UUGUCUACUUGAUUUUUUGGGUUGAAUUUGAUAGAAGAUGAACUACAAAAGAUCUUUGAUAGCAACACUUCUCAAUCCUCAUGGCCGAGAAGAACUAAACGAAGCUUAUAGACCAAGGAUCUAACCCAAGAUUGUAGAGAUCGAGUUUCUAGUGCCUGAUAGACUGCCUUAGUCUGCCGAAGCUCCGUUAUCGAUUACCAGUAAGGGUAACGCGAGGGGCAGACCGGCGAGAGGCAAGAAGGAUGCGUGAAGGCCAUAUGAACAUGUCUACUUUUUGAUGCUUUCACUGAACGUAUUUGUUAUGUCUAUUUCUUUUUAAUUAUUAAAU